GGAUGUUACCAUUCAGAAUCUGUCCCCUUCCAGCUCCCAAGCCUAUAACCAGGUUUUCAGCUUGGAAGCCUCUGGUAGCCAUGAAUCUCCAGAAGACAAAUGCGAAAAACAAGAUCUGAAGGAGGAUUGCCAGAGCUCACGAGUUCCUGUACUGUCGAUGGUCUGUAGUAGACCACUCAUAUCAUGCCCGGCUUUGAAAGAAUCAAAUUUGAAGACCAAUGUAAAGCUUGUAAACAAACAACAAACAACAACAAACAAGCUCAAUAAAUUUUGGAAAAUA